ensembl:snRNA U2 U2 spliceosomal RNA
AACUCUUCUCAUUCUUCCAGAGAAGACCAAGUGGAGUAUCUGUUCCUACAAGUUUAACAUGUCUGUGUCCAUAUGAGGACAACAUAACAAAUGGAUUUAUGAAGCUGGGAGAUGGAACAGGAACCUACUCCAUUCACUUCAUGUAUUGACUCAGCAUUGUAGCACCUCCAAGAAUGGGAGUUCUCUU